CGGACUUUCCACUACCCUCUCAAUACGAGCAGACGUUCACUACAGCAGGAGGUCGUCCAGCCAGGCCAAGUCGUGCUGAGAGAAGACCAUGUCCAGCAUCUUUCUGACCACCAUCAAACCCAGAAUCUGAACAUUUGGAAAGACAAUGGCCAAAAAUGUGGAUUUGAGGAUCCAAAGCACAGCCAGACACGUGAUCUGAAUCAGAGUAAAUAGGUGGACUCUCCUCAGAGGGACAUGACGCAGGUAAGAGAAGUCUGGUUGGUGCUUGGCAGGCAUCAUGUAUAACUUUAUCCUGUCCCAGAACUGCGCAGGAGCAGGAGCAGGAGAUGAGGAGCAGGUGGAAGACAGAUGAGCAUUAGUCUUAGGUUAAACAAGGUUAAACACAUGCAGACCUGUGAUAUAAAUGAUUAAUCUUAAGUUAUUAGAGGGACAUUUGUAUGCAUCAGAGCUUUACUAGACUGUGCUGAAUAAGUUAGAGGCAAAGUUAGCAUGAAGGAAGAACAAAAGGACAAACUGUUACAAAGUUAUACAAAAGAAUAACUAGGAACCAGCAACUGCAUAAAUUAGCCAAUAUACAGCUGAGAUCAAAAACAAAAGAAUUUGCAAUUGAUUAAAUGAUUAAAUUCAACCAGAAAUAGGCAUAUCAGCAAAAAGAAGGGGGAGUGUAAAAAUGACAAAAAAGGAGCAUCAGAAAAUGGUCAGCAAUAAAUGUCUAAAAAAAUUGAAUUUUAUGUUAAAUUACAUUUAGAAGGUUUACUGUGCAAGGUGUAAUAUUUACAACUAAUAUUUAUUUAUUACAGUUAGGUGUAUUAUACUGGAUAAUGUGUUGCACCCUGGUGGAAAAAUUACUAAAGUUGCUCCUGUGUCUGACCAGCACCACCUGGUGGAUGAGAAGCACUGUCUAAGACAGACCUAAACUAACACCAUUCUUCUCUCUGACACCACUGUCAGAGUGUCGUUCAAGACCCAGAAUGUCACUAGACCUGUGUAUAAGUUUAUUGAGUAAGCUAGGGUUAGCUAGAAACAAAAGCAAUAAACAACAACAGCUAAGCAUUAGCCAGAAAAUACCUAUGGUUUGGUAAAAAUAAAGUCACAAGGUUAAAAGUUUGUCCCUGGAAAGGGUAACUUUUCCAGAUAGUAUGUUAGUCACAAAAAACAUUUAUAAAAGAUUAGAAUUGUUGUUAAUGCAACCCAGGGUCUUUUGCACCCAUAUGAUGCAAAAAACAGGGGUCUCAGACUCGCGGCCCGGGGGCCAAGUGAGGCCCGCAGUACAAUAUUUUGUGGCCCGCACCUUAAUAUGAAGGUAUAAUAUUAGUGUGGCCCGCGGAGAAAGUGGACCGCCGAAGAGCCAAUCAGCAAGCUCCUGCGUGCCGUCCCUUGUCGGGGCUAGGCUAAGCUACACCAGCUUCGUGCACUUCAUGCUUGCAACAACAGCACGGCGUGUAAUGAACAGCCAGACAGCA